AUACGUAGGGGGCGAGCGUUGUCCGGAAUGAUUGGGCGUAAAGGGCGCGUAGGCGGCGCGGUAAGUCUGGAGUGAAAGUCCUGCUUUCAAGGUGGGAAUUGCUUUGGAUACUGCCGCGCUUGAGUGCAGGAGAGGUUAUCGGAAUUCCCGGUGUAGCGGUGACAUGCGUAGAGAUCGGGAGGAACACCAGUGGCGAAGGCGGGUAACUGGACUGCAACUGACGCUGAGGCGCGAAAGUGUGGGGAGCAAACAGGAUUAGAUACCCUGGUAGUCCACACUGUAAACGAUGAAUGCUAGGUGUAAGAGGUAUCGACCCCUUUUGUGCCGGAGUCAACACAAUAAGCAUUCCGCCUGUGGAGUACGGCCGCAAGGUUGAAACUCAAAUGAAUUGACGGGG
rnacentral:rRNA from 1 species